CACCCCCACGCGGCAUGCUCCACCAGCUCCGGCACCCACAACCGUGGCGGCGGGGUGUAGGAAUAGCCGGCAGCGGAUGUUCUUCCCUGGACCCCUCGGUGGUGGGUGAGCCCGACGGGGAGCCGCGCCACCACUGAACGCCGAUUCGGGAUGGAAGCAUUCACUUACGCGCCAGUCGCCAGGCUGCAGAUGAAGACACUCCACCGAUGGAGAUGCUUUCCUUGAUGAUUGGCGAGUUGCUCUCGGAAGAGAAGUCAGAGUUCAGUGGGCAGACCUUCGGAGAGUACCUUCGAGCUGGUGUCCCUUCGAUCGCCCCCAUUUCCCAGCUUGGUUGCGGGCAGCUGGGCAUCAUUCGGUACCAGAUCACUUUGAGAUGGCGAGAAUAGCAGCACUGUAAGCACAUUCUUACCUCUAGAGGAUGGUGAGAUGAGAUAGUGAAUCAAUUUGACCACCCCGUGUUAUUGUGUAGUGCGUACCAACAUGUAUUUAUGGACAAGCGUGCAUGCUUUAAUUGGCUGCCCCUCAGGAAUUAAAUUGUUAUUAUGCAUAGACUAGGCUGUAAUAAAACUUUGGGCAUAUCGAUAUCGCAGGGAUACGGUGAGGGGUUCAAGACAAACCGGUUCCUUACUUUGGAACUUUUGAUAGAUAACAAUUUAUAUUAUUUAAAUAGCUGCCGAGAGAAGCUUGGGGAGUUGAUUAUUUGCUGUUGGGUGUAUU